UCCUGACUGACCGAUAGUGAACCAGUACCGUGAGGGAAAGGCGAAAAGAACCCCGGCGAGGGGAGUGAAAAAGAACCUGAAACCGUGUACGUACAAGCAGUGGGAGCACGCUUCGGCGUGUGACUGCGUACCUUUUGUAUAAUGGGUCAGCGACUUAUAUUCUGUAGCAAGGUUAACCGAAUAGGGGAGCCGAAGGGAAACCGAGUCUUAACUGGGCGUUAAGUUGCAGGGUAUAGACCCGAAACCCGGUGAUCUAGCCAUGGGCAGGUUGAAGGUUGGGUAACACUAACUGGAGGACCGAACCGACUAAUGUUGAAAAAUUAGCGGAUGACUUGUGGCUGGGGGUGAAAGGCCAAUCAAACCGGGAGAUAGCUGGUUCUCCCCGAAAGCUAUUUAGGUAGCGCCUCGUGAACUCAUCUCCGGGGGUAGAGCACUGUUUCGGCAAGGGGGUCAUCCCGACUUACCAACCCGAUGCAAACUGCGAAUACCGGAGAAUGUUAUCACGGGAGACACACGGCGGGUGCUAACGUCCGUCGUGAAGAGGGAAACAACCCAGACCGCCAGCUAAGGUCCCAAAGUCAUGGUUAAGUGGGAAACGAUGUGGGAAGGCCCAGACAGCCAGGAUGUUGGCUUAGAAGCAGCCAUCAUUUAAAGAAAGCGUAAUAGCUCACUGGUCGAGUCGGCCUGCGCGGAAGAUGUAACGGGGCUAAACCAUGCACCGAAGCUGCGGCAGCGACACUAUGUGUUGUUGGGUAGGGGAGCGUUCUGUAAGCCUGUGAAGGUGUGCUGUGAGGCACGCUGGAGGUAUCAGAAGUGCGAAUGCUGACAUAAGUAACGAUAAAGCGGGUGAAAAGCCCGCUCGCCGGAAGACCAAGGGUUCCUGUCCAACGUUAAUCGGGGCAGGGUGAGUCGACCCCUAAGGCGAGGCCGAAAGGCGUAGUCGAUGGGAAACAGGUUAAUAUUCCUGUACUUGGUGUUACUGCGAAGGGGGGACGGAGAAGGCUAUGUUGGCCGGGCGACGGUUGUCCCGGUUUAAGCGUGUAGGCUGGUUUUCCAGGCAAAUCCGGAAAAUCAAGGCUGAGGCGUGAUGACGAGGCACUACGGUGCUGAAGCAACAAAUGCCCUGCUUCCAGGAAAAGCCUCUAAGCAUCAGGUAACAUCAAAUCGUACCCCAAACCGACACAGGUGGUCAGGUAGAGAAUACCAAGGCGCUUGAGAGAACUCGGGUGAAGGAACUAGGCAAAAUGGUGCCGUAACUUCGGGAGAAGGCACGCUGAUAUGUAGGUGAAGUCCCUCGCGGAUGGAGCUGAAAUCAGUCGAAGAUACCAGCUGGCUGCAACUGUUUAUUAAAAACACAGCACUGUGCAAACACGAAAGUGGACGUAUACGGUGUGACGCCUGCCCGGUGCCGGAAGGUUAAUUGAUGGGGUCAGCGCAAGCGAAGCUCUUGAUCGAAGCCCCGGUAAACGGCGGCCGUAACUAUAACGGUCCUAAGGUAGCGAAAUUCCUUGUCGGGUAAGUUCCGACCUGCACGAAUGGCGUAAUGAUGGCCAGGCUGUCUCCACCCGAGACUCAGUGAAAUUGAACUCGCUGUGAAGAUGCAGUGUACCCGCGGCAAGACGGAAAGACCCCGUGAACCUUUACUAUAGCUUGACACUGAACAUUGAGCCUUGAUGUGUAGGAUAGGUGGGAGGCUUUGAAGUGUGGACGCCAGUCUGCAUGGAGCCGACCUUGAAAUACCACCCUUUAAUGUUUGAUGUUCUAACGUGGACCCGUAAUCCGGGUUGCGGACAGUGUCUGGUGGGUAGUUUGACUGGGGCGGUCUCCUCCUAAAGAGUAACGGAGGAGCACGAAGGUUGGCUAAUCCUGGUCGGACAUCAGGAGGUUAGUGCAAUGGCAUAAGCCAGCUUGACUGCGAGCGUGACGGCGCGAGCAGGUGCGAAAGCAGGUCAUAGUGAUCCGGUGGUUCUGAAUGGAAGGGCCAUCGCUCAACGGAUAAAAGGUACUCCGGGGAUAACAGGCUGAUACCGCCCAAGAGUUCAUAUCGACGGCGGUGUUUGGCACCUCGAUGUCGGCUCAUCACAUCCUGGGGCUGAAGUAGGUCCCAAGGGUAUGGCUGUUCGCCAUUUAAAGUGGUACGCGAGCUGGGUUUAGAACGUCGUGAGACAGUUCGGUCCCUAUCUGCCGUGGGCGCUGGAGAACUGAGGGGGGCUGCUCCUAGUACGAGAGGACCGGAGUGGACGCAUCACUGGUGUUCGGGUUGUCAUGCCAAUGGCACUGCCCGGUAGCUAAAUGCGGAAGAGAUAAGUGCUGAAAGCAUCUAAGCACGAAACUUGCCCCGAGAUGAGUUCUCCCUGACCCUUUAAGGGUCCUGAAGGAACGUUGAAGACGACGACGUUGAUAGGCCGGGUGUGUAAGCGCAGCGAUGCGUUGAGCUAACCGGUACUAAUGAACCGUGAGGCUUAACCUUACAA
rnacentral:rRNA from 1 species